GCUAGUGUGGCAGAGCCUGGCUAAUGCAAAAGACCUAAGCUCUUUGAUUCAGGGGUUCAAAUCCCCUCACUAUCU
rnacentral:tRNA from 2 species